rnacentral:siRNA from 1 species
GUCGCUUUGGCCGAGUGGUUAAG